rnacentral:rRNA from 1 species
AUUGAACGCUGGCGGCAGGCCUAACACAUGCAAGUCGAGCGGAUGAAGGGAGCUUGCUCCUGGAUUCAGCGGCGGACGGGUGAGUAAUGCCUAGGAAUCUGCCUGGUAGUGGGGGAUAACGUCCGGAAACGGGCGCUAAUACCGCAUACGUCCUGAGGGAGAAAGUGGGGGAUCUUCGGACCUCACGCUAUCAGAUGAGCCUAGGUCGGAUUAGCUAGUUGGUGGGGUAAAGGCCUACCAAGGCGACGAUCCGUAACUGGUCUGAGAGGAUGAUCAGUCACACUGGAACUGAGACACGGUCAAGACGCCUACGGGAGGCAGCAGUGGGGAAUAUUGGACAAUGGGCGAAAGCCUGAUCCAGCCAUGCCGCGUGUGUGAAGAAGGUCUUCGGAUUGUAAAGCACUUUAAGUUGGGAGGAAGGGCAGUAAGUUAAUAACUUGCUGUUUUGACGUUACCAACAGAAUAAGCACCGGCUAACUUCGUG